UAGUCAUAUGCUUGUCUCAAAGAUUAAGCCAUGCAUGUCUAAGCACAAGCCGAUUAAUGGUGAAGCCGCGAAUGGCUCAUUACAACAGCCAUAGUUUCUUAGAUCUUACUUUUCUACUUGGAUAACUGUGGUAAUUCUAGAGCUAAUACACGCAAACAAGCUCAGACCUUACGGAAUGAGCGCAUUUAUUAGAACAAAAACCAAUCGGGCUUCGGUCCGUCAUUUGGUGAAUCUGAAUAACUUUGCUGAUCGCACGGUCUUCGUACCGGCGACAUAUCUUUCAAAUGUCUGCCUUAUCAACUUUCGAUGGUGGUUUAUGCGCCUACCAUGGUUGUAACGGGUAACGGAGAAUAAGGGUUCGACUCCGGAGAGGGAGCCUGAGAAACGGCUACCACAUCCAAGGAAGGCAGCAGGCACGCAAAUUACCCACUCCCGGCACGGGGAGGUAGUGACGAAAAAUAACGAGACGGCUCGCUAUGCGGUCCGUCAUCGGAAUGGGUACAAUUUAAAUCCUUUAACGAGGAUCUAUU
rnacentral:rRNA from 1 species